CAACCGUCUAGUUCUAAACAAUGAGCAAUGUUAAGCAAGUGACACCUGCUACCACCUCCAACCGAGGAGACCCACUUCAUGGAGGACAGCAAACAGUAUAAUACCUACCACCAGGAGCAGCACUCCUAGGAUGUCAACUCACUGCCUUGCUUGCAGGUGUUGGGGUCACCAAGAAAGGUUUAUCAGGACAUACCCCAUCAUAAGUCAAGGAGCAUCUAUACUACAUCAGAGGAAAAAAAGAACAAAUGGAUACUACCUGCAAUCAUAUGGCUCAAACUUUCAGACUUUAUGUUAAGUAAAUGAAGCCAGGUUAAAAAGAGUACAUACUCUAUAAUUCCAUUUAUAUGAAGUUCAAAAACAGGCAAAACUAAUUGAUUAUAACAAAAUCUAGAGUCUUAGUUUCCUUGAAGUCACUGGGUUUUGACUGAGGAGGGGCAUGAAGGAAAUUUCUGGCUGUUGGAAAUGUUACAUCUCAAUCUAAGUGGUAGUUAUUUGGAUAUGAGUGUAAAAGUUCCUUGAGCUGACACUUAAGAAUAGUGUGCUUUACUCACUUUAUUAUGCAUAUGCUAAAAGUCAAUAUUAAAAUUUGGUUUAAAAUCUGCUCUGAAUCAUUUGACCAUGAACACAUUGGCUAAUAUGCCACAUCAUAAAAUACCACAGUGAAACAUCACAGUGAUACAUCUAAAUAUGCCACCAUCCUGACACUCUUCUUAAACUUAUUCAUCCUGGAUAUGCAGUGACCUUUAUGUUUUUAAGGUGAUAUAUUUUAAAAGAACAUGAAUUUUGAAUUGUUUACUCAGUUUCAGUAACAGAUAUGCUCAGACUUGUCUGUGUUCUGAGAUUUAGCUGCUGUUAUCAGCAACAUGUAUUUACCAACAAACCAGGUGCAGAGAUGCAAUAACAUGUACAGUAUAUGCCCACUAGUAAUCAUAUCAGCCAGCAAUAAUGUAACCUGAUGCAACAAAUAGAUUAUUUCAAGUGGGGUAAAAUUGAAUUUUUAUAAAUGGAAGCCUACUAAAACUCCAUUUUCAAGAUUUAUUUUUGCUAAUUUCUCCAUCCAAAUCAGCAAAACAAGUAAUUAAUUAGCUGAAGCCACUUAAAUAUAAUGUUUCUUAAAAUAUUUCUUUAAUAAGAU
rnacentral:lncRNA from 1 species